rnacentral:rRNA from 1 species
AUUGAACGCUGGCGGCAUGCCUUACACAUGCAAGUCGAACGGUAACAGGUCUUCGGAUGCUGACGAGUGGCGAACGGGUGAGUAAUGCAUCGGAACGUGCCCAGUAGUGGGGGAUAGCCCGGCGAAAGCCGGAUUAAUACCGCAUACGACCUGAGGGUGAAAGGGGGGGAUCGCAAGACCUCUCGCUAUUGGAGCGGCCGAUGUCAGAUUAGUUAGUUGGUGGGGUAAAGGCCUACCAAGGCAACGAUCUGUAGUUGGUCUGAGAGGACGACCAGCCACACUGGGACUGAGACACGGCCCAGACUUCUACGGGAGGCAGCAGUGGGGAAUUUUGGACAAUGGGGGCAACCCUGAUCCAGCAAUGCCGCGUGCAGGAAGAAGGCCUUCGGGUUGUAAACUGCUUUUGUCAGGGAAGAAAUCCUCUGGGUUAAUACCUCGGGGGGAUGACGGUACCUGAAGAAUAAGCACCGGCUAACUACGUGCCAGCCGCCGCCGUAACAC